CUCUGCCUUUCAAACAAAUAUAAAAUAAAUAUUAUUUUUAUUAAAAAAAAAAAAAAAAAGGUGGCCAAAGUCACGGUUCUGCUUGCUCUAACUGAUCUGCAACAUGUUGGGAAAAGACAGUU